GUCACCUAUAACCACAGCUUCAGCAUUUGUGUUUUCCUCUGGGGACCCUGCGGACAAGGAUUUCCUCUAUGCUCCUGCUCCUGGCCUGCUGUGGGGCUGUACAGAGUCCUGAUCCCCACGUGAGGGAGGGAGGCAGCCAGCACCGGUGCCUUGCUGCACAGCCCUGCCGAGAUCCCCACCAGUGCUUCCCCCAGUGAAUCCCCCCGAGGCAAGCACCAAGAAAAGUCCCCACCACCUGCAUUUUUUGCGCCAGACUGUCUUCACGGAGAACUGCUUGCACGAAACACAUUAUGUUCCAGAGUCUGGUGGCCCUAAAUAUUAGAGGAGAUGGCUCCUAGCUCUUUGUGGACUGGUCAAGUUGGCUGCAGUCUGGGCUAAAAGAAACAUGAAGCAGAGCAUGAUCAUCACAGCAGAGCUCCAUGGCAAGGAUCAGCCACAGCCUGAUACGAUACCUGUGUCUGGGAUGUGCAAUGGAUGCAAGGAAUUGCAGCCAUGAAGCUUAUACGGAGUCUCUGAAGAACCUGUUACACCCAGGUGUGCUGUGUGUCAGAAAGAAGAAAAAAAGAAGCGAGACGUGGCUGGUUGUCACCACAGACAACCUGUGCGAUCCUCAGCGGGACCGCAGGGAGAUGGAGGAGUGAAGCCCUCUCUUCACAGCACCUCCUGCUGGCAGCCCAGCCAUUGUGCUGGGGCAUAGAAGCCCUUGGAGGUAUUUGGCUAAGCCUCGCCGGCCGUAUGCAGGCCCUGCUCCUGGGGGAGCUGGCUUCAGCUUGCCCUUUAGGCUAGAAGAUGAAGCCAGCAGCAGCAGCAGAUGCCAUGAUCUCAUUCCCAAAUGCUUUUCCACAUGCCUGAGAUGGGUUUAGCAGGUCUCUUGGCAGAGGUACUGAACCACUUGAGUAGAGAUUGUGACCCAGCUGUCCCCUGUAAGAGGUGCACGUGUGGCCAGCAGUCAACAAAGACCCAACCUCUGGUUACGAGCCCUUGAAUGCAAGUCCUGGGAGCUGCACCAGUGGCCUUUCGGAGCUGCCGUCUCCUCCUCCUCCUCCUCCCCUUACACCCCCUCUUUGCCUUGGGCUGUGGACCAGUAUUUAAUACUGGAGCCCGCUUCUAGGUGACUCUUGUCCAAGCAUGCACGCUCAGCCCGAGGUACAGCUGUUCAGAAGGUGCUGGCCCUGUUCACUGCUGCCUUCCCCGUGGCCAAAGAGGCAAAGCGGACAAAAGACUCGCAGUUCAAUCUACAGCAGCUAAUAGGCAAGGACAUCUCUGGUGGCUCAGAGCACAAGUUCAUCUUUCCGAGCCUCGCUCCUGUAUGAGUGACCGACAUCAGAUGCAGACGGGAAGAACGUGCAAUGGAGGGAGAAGCAUCGACGGACCUACCCACCCAACAUCCACCAGCCCAGCCAGAGGCUCUAUCUACAUCUUUGGUUGAAAUAUCAGUUAACGUCACUUCCAGGCAGGAGCAGAGACCCUGUUGCCAGCCCUGGGAACCUCUGAAGGAGGUGGGCUCCCACCAGCUCCUGGAAACGGCCAGAGCAACUAUCGAACAUCCAACCCCCAGCUUUUGUCAGAAAGCCAGUACUCCCAGGCUUGAGAGACUUCGUGCACCCAAGAAAAGGUGGUGCAUCCUCUACUGCCCAUCUCUGGGGCACAGCCAAAGCCUUGCUGCAAGACAAACUGAGCCAAGCUUCCUUCUCCUGCCAGCACAGCAAGGAAGCCCAAAUCCAAGCAAACCAAAAGGAAAAAAGUGUCGGGCUGAGCAUCCCUCGAGAGAAACGCCUCCAAACUGCUCACUGCUGGGGUCCCAGCACCCAACUGAACGAGGCUCCAGCCGUGAGCUCCUCUCCUGCAGGAGCUGGGACCAGCCCGGCGGGGACGAGGAUGAGGAGCAGCACACAGAGCAAUGUCCCAAAGCUGUAGACGACCGAGGCUACGAGAGCACCCAACUGCACAGCACCUUCGGGAGCAAUUUGAUGAUGCUGCAAGUCACGUCUCCAAGGAGCUGCAGGUGCAACAUCUGAUGGAGAUGCUCCAGAUGCUACCAGGCCUCGCCGAUCCACGAUCAUCCCCUUCCGGUGAAUUAUGGCCACUUGGAUGCUCGGCAGCCCCGGGGAGCGAAGCUCCGUGCCUGCACAACGCGGCCGUGACGUGUCGGCAGCGCCCAACGCCCGAAAGGAGCACG